rnacentral:lncRNA from 1 species
CCACACCUGACCGGCCGAGGCAGCAGAGGCUGCUGAAUGGAGCGCUAUCCCGAUCCCAGGCCCUUGGCUGUGGGGGAUUCUGGCGCUCAGGCAUGCCAAGCCCUUCAGGGGGGUACCCAGGCGUUGGUCAUGCCUCUCGAGCCAGCCAGGGCCUACAAGAGCGUCAUUGCAUCUGUGUUCAUGCAACGUGCACAUGCAAGCACUGAACCGACCUGCAG